CUCGCGGAACGUAAUCAACGAAGGCUCCUCGUUUGGCGUCGGAAGGCGAACGUGGAACCCUAACCCUAACCAGCAAGUGCAGGCCUGCGACGAUGGCUGCGUCUCUCCGCACGGCGGCGACCACGAGGUUCCCGCGUCCAUCGGUGCUUCGAGGGCAGGGGCUUCGCCGGCUCGUCCACGCCGAGGAUCUUUCCAAAUCCAUCCUCGCCUUAGACAAGGAACACCGUGGUUCGCUAGUCCAGCGGAUGGGGGAGCUGCUGCGCUUGCAGGCUUCCAAAUUCACCCACACCAUGAAGGAGGAACACCGUGCGGAGCUAAUCCAGCUGAAGAAGGAGCAGCUGUACGAAGUCAUGGCCCUUGUCGAAGUCGCGGGAUAGGAGUCUGCUCAAGUAUCUCUCUACCCAAAUCGAGCCUAGACCACAUGACCCUCAAUGGCGCAAGAUAACCAGGACCAAGAAGGUGACCAAGUGGACUGCGUUGGCGGGUAUUCUUGUUAUUAAUGCUCUCGGUUAUUGUGCCCUGCCUUCCGGUCCUAAAAUAGGAUAUCUUGUAACCGUUGAGAGUCUUCCCUUGAUACGACGAUAUCAGCACGCUGCUGAGAGAGCGGGUAAGCGAGAUGGAUAUCAGCAUGUUGCUACUUCUGUGGGACUGGACAAGCAAGAGGAGAUGUGAACAAGCAAAAGGGAUGAAAAUGACAUGCAUGCAUCUUGUUUGAUGGAGAAGCAAGACUGCAGUUCUUUUCCACCUAGAACUUGAUGAGACA